rnacentral:rRNA from 1 species
AACGAACGCUGGCGGCAGGCCUAACACAUGCAAGUCGAGCGCGCCCUUCGGGGUGAGCGGCGGACGGGUGAGUAACGCGUGGGAACGUGCCCUUUUCUACGGAAUAGCCUCGGGAAACUGAGAGUAAUACCGUAUACGCCCUUUGGGAGAAAGAUUUAUCGGAAAAGGAUCGGCCCGCGUUGGAUUAGGUAGUUGGUGGGGUAAUGGCCUACCAAGCCGACGAUCCAUAGCUGGUUUGAGAGGAUGAUCAGCCACACUGGGACUGAGACACGGCCCAGACUCCUACGGGAGGCAGCAGUGGGGAAUCUUAGACAAUGGGGGCAACCCUGAUCUAGCCAUGCCGCGUGAGUGAUGAAGGCCUUAGGGUUGUAAAGCUCUUUCAGCUGGGAAGAUAAUGACGGUACCAGCAGAAGAAGCCCCGGCUAACUCCGUG